rnacentral:rRNA from 1 species
UACGGAGGAUGCAAGCAUUAUCCGGAAUGAUUGGGCGUAAAGCGUCCGCAGGUGGCUAUGUAAGUCUGCUGUUAAAGAGUGAGGCUCAACCUCAUAAGAGCAGUGGAAACUACAUGGCUAGAGUGCGUUCGGGGCAGAGGGAAUUCCUGGUGUAGCGGUGAAAUGCGUAGAUAUCAGGAAGAACACCGGUGGCGAAAGCGCUCUGCUAGGCCGCAACUGACACUGAGGGACGAAAGCUAGGGGAGCGAAUGGG